rnacentral:rRNA from 1 species
CGGAGCGAAAGCGACGUUCAACCGCAAAACAAGCAGAGGGGGCUUAGUGGUGGGGUGACUGCGUACCUUUUGUAUAAUGGGUCAGCGACUUAUAUUCUGUAGCAAGGUUAACCGAAUAGGGGAGCCGGAGGGAAACCGAGUCUUAAUUGGGCGUUAAGUUGCAGGGUAUAGACCCGAAACCCGGUGAUCUAGCCAUGGGCAGGUUGAAGGUUGGGUAACACUAACUGGAGGACCGAACCGACUAAUGUUGAAAAAUUAGCGGAUGACCUGUGGCUGGGGGUGAAAGGCCAAUCAAACCGGGAGAUAGCUGGUUCUCCCCGAAAGCUAUUUAGGUAGCGCCUCGUGAAUUCAUCUCCGGGGGUAGAGCACUGUUUCGGCUAGGGGGCCAUCCCGGCUUACCAACCCGAUGCAAACUGCGAAUACCGGAGAAUGUUAUCACGGGAGACACACGGCGGGUGCUAACGUCCGUCGUGAAGAGGGAAACAACCCAGACCGCCAGCUAAGGUCCCAAAGUCAUGGUUAAGUGGGAAACGAUGUGGGAAGGCCCAGACAGCCAGGAUGUUGGCUUAGAAGCAGCCAUCAUUUAAAGAAAGCGUAAUAGCUCACUGGUCGAGUCGGCCUGCGCGGAAGAUGUAACGGGGCUAAACCAU